GAUGAAGAACGCAGCGAAAUGCGAUAAGUAGUGUGAAUUGCAGAAUUCAGUGAAUCAUCGAAUCUUUGAACGCACCUUGCACCCUUUGGCAUUCCGAAGGGUAUGCUCGUUUGAGUGUCAUUGUACUCUCACACUUCCGAUCUUUGGAUUGGGAGCGGUGGACUUGGGUGUUGCUGCUUACUGUGGCUCACCUCAAAUCGAUUCGUGCACCUCUUGGUUGGACAUAGUACGGCGUGAUAAGUGUCUUCGCCGGCACCUCAGUAGAGGGUGGCUGAUCGGGAGCUCUGCUUCAAACCGUCCUCGGACAACAACUGACAACUUGACCUCAAAUCGAGUAGGACUACCCGCUGAACUUAAGCAUAUCAAUAAGCGGAGGA
rnacentral:misc_RNA from 1 species